rnacentral:rRNA from 1 species
CACAUAAGACAUGCAAGUCGAACGGAAGUCGUUAUAUUAGAUACAGAUAUGAACAGAGAACUUGUCGAAGGAAGUUGAAGUUGAAAAUAUAGCAAUGGCUUUAGUGGCGGACUGGUGAGUAACGCGUGAGCAACCUGCCUAUCAGAGGGGAAUAACAGUGAGAAAUCAUUGCUAAUACCGCAUAUGCCAUAAGAACCACAUGGUUCAAGUGGGAAAGGAGAAAUCCGCUGAUAGAUGGGCUCGCGUCUGAUUAGAUAGUUGGUGGGGUAAUGGCCUACCAAGUCAACGAUCAGUAGCCGGACUGAGAGGUUGAACGGCCACAUUGGGACUGAGAUACGGCCCAGACUCCUACGGGAGGCAGCAGUCGGGAAUAUUGCGCAAUGGAGGAAAAACCUCUGACGCAGUGACGCCGCGUAUAGGACGAAGGUCUUCGGAUUGUAAACUAUUGUCGUUAGGGAAGAAAAAGGACAGUACCUAAGGAGGAAGCUCCGGCUAACUACGUGCCAGCCGCCGC